rnacentral:rRNA from 1 species
UUGUCCUACGGGGGGCAGCAGUGGAGGAUAUUGCACAAUGGAGGGAACUCUGAUGCAGCGACGCCGCGUGAGGGAAGAAGGUUUUCGGAUUGUAAACCUCUGUCUUCGGUGAUGAAACGAGACGGUAGCCGAGGAGGAAGCCACGGCUAACUACGUGCCAGCAGCCGCGGUAAUACGUAGGUGGCAAGCGUUGUCCGGAUUUACUGGGCGUAAAGGGAGCGUAGGCGGACUUUUAAGUGAGAUGUGAAAUACUCGGGCUCAACUUGAGUGCUGCAUUUCAAACUGGAAGUCUAGAGUGCAGGAGA